rnacentral:rRNA from 1 species
AUCGCAAGACCUCUCGCUAUUGGAGCGGCCGAUGUCAGAUUAGGUAGUUGGUAGGGUAAAAGCCUACCAAGCCUAUGAUCUGUAGCUGGUCUGAGAGGACGACCAGCCACACUGGGACUGAGACACGGCCCAGACUCCUACGGGAGGCAGCAGUGGGGAAUUUUGGACAAUGGGCGCAAGCCUGAUCCAGCCAUGCCGCGUGCGGGAAGAAGGCCUUCGGGUUGUAAACCGCUUUUGUCAGGGAAGAAAAGCGCCAGGUUAAUACCUUGGCGUCAUGACGGUACCUGAAGAAUAAGCACCGGCUAACUACGUG